CCUCUCCCCUCUCUCUCUUUCUUCCCCUCAUCCCUCUCCCCCAGCUGCUCCCUCUCUCCCUCUGACCCUCUCUCUCUUUAGCUCAGUUCUCCUUUGGGUUUCGUGGCGAGCAGACGUGUGUGGAACGGAGCUACCCCUUGGAUCUUUGUGUAAGCGCCCCGCCCCUGGUCUCGACGCACCCCGCCUUCAGACCCGGAGGACAAGAAUAAUUAAUCAACAAACACCCACACCGGCCACACCUGUCAAUGGCCUAACGGAGCCCCCGCACACCUGCCGAGCCACACCCCUGCACUCCAGCCGGCCCCCACACCUGCACACACCUGCCCCGGAUACCUGCCACGCUGCUCCACCCCUGCAACAUGUCCAUCGUGACGGUGUUAGGAAGCAUGGGCACGGGGGGGCGAAUCCCGGGCAAAGCGAAUGUCUAUGGCUUCGGAGGGUUACCGCCAUCGUUAAAGGAGAAAAAACUGAAGGAGGCAAAACUACAGAACUCUCUCUCCAAACCUCACACCUCCUCCUCCUCCUCCUCUCACACCUCCUCCCAUACCUCCUCCUCCACCUCCUCCUCCUCACACACCACCACAACCUCCAUCAAACACACAACCACUGCAGCCUCCUCGACCUCCACUUCCACCUCAACCACACAUACCUCCACCACCACAGCCGCGCCUUCCACCACUUACUGUUGCUCCUCCACCUCCUCCUACUCGUCCUCCUGCCCCUCCUCCUCCUCCUCUUCGUCCUCCUCCUCCUCGUACUCCACCACGGCGCCCCUCCACACCACCACUACCACCACCACCAGCGACGUGAGGAGGAGAACGGUGUGUGAAUGAGACAACGUGAGUGAGAAAACGUGCUGCUGGUAAGGGUAAGGAGGUCCACCGUGCCUGGCCAUUCACAGGGACUGAAGGAAGGGCUGGAGCGUCGCCCUUAUAUACCCAGGGCACUCCACCCCCGCCCCCACCCAGGCCCACACGCACAAACCCGCCAAUCCGGUGCCAGGUGGGGGAACGGAGGGCCAAUCAGCGAGCAGCGUUUCCCUAAGUCCCGCCCCUCCCUGAGUCCCUGGGUGGCUGAAUGAAAUUUGAAUCAAAGGUGGCCCAGACGUGUUGUGGUUGGUUUUGUGAAGUGUUUUUGGAUACGGUUUGAUUUUUGUGUUUUGUUUUAUAUUUUUCGUGGCUUCGGUUUCAUUUUGAUUUUUACUUGUCUUGUCGGUGGUGAGACGAAGUGCUGUUCUUGAAAAUGUUUGAAAAUGUUUUUGAAAAAGUUCUUGAAUAUAAUAUCUUGAGAAAUGUUGAAAAUAUUGAAAAAAAAGUAGAUUUUUUUGGAAAUGUUGAAUUUUUUUGAAAAUCUCAGAAAACGUGGAAAAUGUUUGAAACGUUUUAGGAAAUUUUGGAAAUGUUGAGUAUCUUGAAAACGUUAGAAAUCUUGAUAAAUGUUGAAAUAUGUUGCAAAUCUUGAAAAUGUUCUCGAAAAGGUUUGGAAAUCUUUAAAUGAUGCAAAUAUAACAUUGAAAACCUUGCAAUGUACUAAAAAAAGUCUUGGAGUUUUUAUUAUUCUCUUAUUUGUUAUUUAUCUGUUGUGGAAACUUUAUCAACACCAAAGAGUGAGAUUUCAAGAGCCAAAGAAGGAAAAAAAGUUAAUGGAAGAAAAGAUGAAAAGACAAACAUGAAGAAAAUAACAAUGGGAGGAAGAUAAAUAUAACCGUCAAGAAAAUGAGAGAAAAGAAAACAAAAAGGAGAAAGUAAUGAUGUAAAGGAAAAUAUGUAAACAACAAAAGGGAAAGAUAAAGAAGAAAGAAGAUAAGAGAAUUGUGAUACCAGUGAAACGGAAAAAGAUAAAAUGAAGAAGAUAGUAAUGGAAGAAAAAUAUGUCAACAACAGAAGGGAAAGAUAAAGAAGAAAGAAGAUAAGAGAAUUGUGAUACCAGUGAAACGGAAGAAGACAAAAUGGAGAAAAUAGUAAUGGAAGAAAAAUAUGUCAACAACAGAAGGGAAAGAUAAAGAAGAAAGAAGAUAAGAUAACUGUGAUACCAGUGAAACGGAAGAAGACAAAAUGAAGAAAAUAGUAAUGGAGGGAAAGUAUGUCAACAAUAGCGAGGAGAGAGAAAGAAGGAGAUCAUAAGAGCAUUGUGAUACCAGUGACACGCAGGGAGACUCAAACACAUCUUUUUGAAUAAUGCAAGUAACAACAACAAGAAAAAAUAAUGAGAUAAUAAUGCAAUUGCUCCGCCCAUCCUAAAAAUUAAGGUUAUAUAAGAAAACUGUGACCGGAAAAAAAGUUAAAAAAAAAGAAGAAUGUGAGAAAACCAAAUUAAAGACGAAAUGAAAGGUGACGAUCAAAAUUUUCUUACUGAUUAAAAAAAUGGAAAGGAAGAGGAACAAUAUAUAAAUAAAAAGGAACACAAAGAAAAGAAAUACUCAUUUUUUUCUUUCUAAUCUCAAAAAAUGAAAAGAAAAUGAAAGAUGAAAAGAAAAAUGAAGAUCCAUAUUUUUCUUACCAAUCUCACAAAUGGAAAACCUAAACAAAAUCAAACAAGAAAAGAAAAUGAAGACAAACUCAUUUUCUUCAACGCAUCUCAGGAACUGGAACCAACAAAAAAUGAAAUGAAAAGAAAGAUAAAUAUUCUUACUAAAAAUAUAACAACAACAUGAAAAGAAAUAAAAAAAUGAAACGAAAACAACAACAAAAAUUCCUCAGAUUGAAAAUAUGAGAGAAAAAGAAAGAAAAAAACUUCACACUUAAAAUGAGACAUAAGCAGAAAAAAAGACAUUUCCUAAUAAUAAAAAAACAAGAAAACAAAAGACAGUGAAAAAGAAAACAAAACAAAACAACUUCACACUUAAAAUAUGAGUAAAAAAAAAGCAAGAAAAGACACAACAUUUCCUAAUUAUAAAAAACAAGAAAAUAAGACAAGGAAGAAAAAUAAUAAUAAAAGAAAAACAAAACAAACAACUUCACACGCUUAAAAAAAUAAAACCAUAUUCCAUCCUGUCUCAAAAAUCAAAAAAAUUAAAACAAAAAAAAAACGUAAGUAAACCAGUCAGUCAAUCACACAUGUACGUCUAAUAAAUAAUAGUCAUACGUACACAUGUAAGUAAAUAAGUAGAUGCCAGCAGAGUUACGUACACACACGCACAUAAGAAGUAAACGUACAUAUCUCUUAAAGCUUUGUACAUCAGCUUGUUUGUAUUUAUUUAUUAGUUUGUUUGUUCGUUUGUUUGAUUGUUAGUCAGCACAAGCGAGGCGCAGAAGAAGAAGAAGAAGAAGAAGAAGAAAAAGAAGAAGAAGAAAGAAAGAAAGAAAGCCAGCACGAUUUUCUCACACACACACAAAACAGAAAAAGAAAGAAAAAGAAAGAAAAAGAAGUGAAUAAAUGAAAGCAUGAGUAAGAAAGAUAAAAAUAAAUAAGAAAAUAAGAAAGAAAAUAAAGAAAAUGCAAAUACACGAUCCCCGUUUUGGCGCUACAAGAAUAUGAAAAAAAAAAUCAAAGUUAAAAAUCAUAAAAAAAAUUCAAGAGAAACAGGUUUUGGUAAUUUCUGAAACUGCAUCUCCUUCCUCUUUCCUCUUGCCACUGAGAGAGAAAGAAAAGGAGGAAAUUAAAUGAAGAAAAGUAAGAAAAGAUGAAAGGAAAAUAAAUGAGGAAAGAAGAGAAAGAGGAAGAAGGGGUGACAUAAAAAUAGAGUGGAAAGAAAGAGAAAAGGAGGAAAAUAAAUUAAGGAAAGUGAAGAAAAGAUGAAAGGAAAAUUUAUGAGGAAAGAAGAGAAAGGGGAAGAAGGGAUAACAUGAAAACCGAGAAAAGAAAUUGAAGGAAUAUACAAUGAAGAGGAGAGAAAGGAAAAAAAAACAGAAGAAAAGCAGGAAGAUAAUAAAACGUAGUACUCAAAAAGACAAACCUACAGAAAGAUGAAGAAAAGAAAGAGAAAAAAUAGAGGAAGGAAGAGGUAGAAUGGAAGAAAAAACAAAUGAAAGAGAAGAAAGGAAUAAGAUAACAGAAGGAAGAAAUGAAGUAUAAGAAGCAGUAUUCAGUGUUAUACCCAAAUAAAAAAAAGAAAGAAAAAGCGAAGAAAGAAGAAAAAAAAAGAGGAAGGAAGAAGUAACAUAGCAGUAUUCAGAAAGCCAAGCCAAAGCCCGUUUUCUAUAAUGCCAUUGCUCAAGGGGAAACUGUGUCAAACUAAGAAAAAAAAAGGAGAAUCGUAGAAAAACAGCGUUACCCUAAUGACGCUCUGGAAAACACUGUGCCUCCUAGUAACCUUUCAUUCAUUUCUUUAUCCCUUUCGUUUUCUACACCUUUCUCGAUCGCUAAUUAACACUUUCUCGCACCUGUAGUGUUAGCAAAGCAGGUGAGUGUUCGUAUUUUUGUGGAGAUGCUGCUUUUACCGGGUAUACUUAGAAGAAAAACAGUUAAUAUAUAUAUAGACCGUACUAAUAGUCUUUUUCAACGAUAGCGGGACCAGUUUGUACAGAGGACAUGUGGAGGAAGCAAAGUUAGAGGAGAAGGGAGGAAGGAGGAUUGGAUGAAGUGGAAAGAGGAAGAGAAGGAUAAGAAGGAAGAACGAAGAUAUGAAAAUGAAGAUAAAAAAUAAAGAAUAGGAGGAGGAGGAGGAAGAGAAGAUGAUGGUGGUAAUGAUAAUCAGGGGAACAGCAAAAAGAAUGAGGAUAGAAAGAAUGUACUGGAUGAAGAAGGAGGAGGAGGAGGAGGAAGAAGAAAGAGGGAAAGGCAGUGGGGGUGAGGAUGCCUGCGGGAGGUAAUGAUGAAGAAAUGAAUGCUGUAUGCUGUAUCAAUCGCCUCUUCUGGUAUGUGUUUGUGAAGUGUGAUGGAGAAUAGAAGAGGUGGUCGUGAAGAGUGAAAGAAAAUGGGGGAUACUAUUGUGAAAGAAAAUGGGGGAUGCUGUUGUGAAAGAAUAUGGGGGAUACUGUUGCGUUCGUGAUGUGCAUUCCCUCGUGUCUCCUGUCUUUGUGAGGAUAAUAAAUAUGACUGUUAAGAAAAGUGAGAAAAGAAAACAAAAAGAAACUAAUAAUGUAAAGAAAAUAUGUGAUGGAAAGGUGUCUGAAGGUAUUGGUGCUCCUCAGUGUUAAAAUUUCACUAUAAAACGAAGAAAAAAUAGUAACUGACUAUUUUAAUCUUGAAGGCUGUCAAAAUAUGUUACUUCCAAAUGACAUAGUGGUCAAAUUUCACUGCAAAGGAGGUCAAGUAAGGUCAAAUUUCACUACUCCACGGAUAACAACAAAAAACAAACAUUCAGAAGUAGAUAUUUGAAAUUAUUUGUCAAGAAGUUACUAUUAUUCUUCACCCAAAAGUAUUAUAGAAAAAGUGGUCAAAUCUCACUGCAAAGGAGGUCAAGUAAGGUCAAAUUUCACUACUCCACGGAUAACAACAAAAAACAAACAUUCAGAAGUAGAUAUUUGAAAUUAUUUGUCAAGAAGUUACUAUUAUUCUUCACCCAAAAGUAUGAUUGAAAAAGUGUUCAAAUUUCACUGCAAAAAAGGUCGUCAAGUCAAAUUUCACUGCUAUUCACGGAUAACAACAAAAAUCAAACAUUCAGAAGCAGCUCUUUAAAAAUGUUUGUCAAGAUGUUACUAAUUAUUCUCCACCCAAAGGUAUUAUAGACAGUAUUAUUCUAAGACGCGACAACACUAAUUACUUCUCACCUGGGAAAGAAUGAAGCGCACCUGAAAUGACGGGGCACUAAAGAGGCCAUACACAUCUAGGUAUUAUAAUCGAUAUGCGGGCCAUUGCAAAGCUACCUGCCACGCACAUAUAUACACGGGUGGAGCAAAAACAACUCCCCGUCACUCACUCACACGCAGGUAAAGACGGACAGGUGACGCGAGCUUGCACCGGAACGUGACGGGUGCGACUGACAUACGAGCUGCCUGGUUUUUCUAGUGUAUAACUCCUUUUUUACGUCACGAUGCAUUCUAGAGCAGUCGACGCACCAGGGAAAGCUAUGACAUUAGAGGAGAUGAAGGUAUAAAUGAGAUGUAAUAUUUUCCUUUGCAUUCAGUAUACGUGAAGGUUGUGUAUAUUUUUUCUUGUGGUUAGUGACAAUCAAAGAAAUCUAAAGCGUGUGUGCGUGUGUAUUUAUUUUGUGGAUUAGAGGAAAGAAACGUGGAAAAAAAACCUCGUAGUAAUUUAAAAUGUAUAUGUCAGUGUGUGUCAGAGUGUGUGUGUGUGUGUCAGAGUGUGUGUGUGUGUGUGUGUGUGUGUGUGUGUGUGUGUGUGUGUGUGUGUUGCGUUUUAGUGUUACUUUAAAGCUGAUGACGAUGACGAUAAUGAUAAUGAUGAUGAUGAUAAUCAUAGAUGAUGAUGACGAUGAUAAUUAUAGAUGAUGAUGACGAAGGUGUACAUAGGCCCUCACCAAGCUGUCCCCUUAAUUAACUCACACCUGCCCUUACCUGCGCCCCACCUGCUUGCCACACCUCACUAUAACGAUGUAACUGUUCGCCUAUUAAAGAGUACGCCCCUGUGGGGAGAACAUACAUACACACGCACAUGCAUACAUACAUACAUACAUACAUACAUAUAUAUUACGCACAUACAUAUAGGUAUGCAUUAAUAUAUAUGCAGACAGUCAUACAUACAUACAUACAUAGAAUAAACAUACUACGGUUAGAUAAUUAUGUAUGUAUAUUAAUUUCUCUUUUCAUUCAUUCAUUUAUACAUGUUCAAGGUAUUCAGUAUGGCAUGAAAUGUGUAUAUGAACUACUACUACUACUACUACUACUACUUCUACUAUUACCACUACUACUACUACUACUUCUACUACUACAAUUACUACUACUACCACUGCUCUUACUUUUACUAUUUAUAAUAUCACUCCUACUUUUCUUCUUUUUAUUUACUUGAAUGAACAAAUUUUUCAUUCAUUAACAUUUCAAUGCAAAACUUCACUCAAAACGCAACUACUCACAAACGAUUCGCCGACAGGUCAUCAAAUUUUAACACGUCUGUCUAAUUUAUCCUCAGACUGGUUAAUUAACUGACUGCAUUACCUAACCCGUUCUAAUACCAAUGACUCAAUCUGGGACUAAAGAGAGCACGGACCCUUAAGGACCAAUUCUAUGAGGUGACUAAAUCAAAGGUCCUCUCACAACGGAUCUCACACAAAUACCACCAAAGAAGAAGUUACUCACAAUCAUUGUUCAUCAAUAUCUCCAAUUCAAAUUCUAAGAGGUGACUUAAACAAAGGUUCUCUCACUAAGGACCCACCACCUAUACUUCCAAAUUAAAGAUAGAUAUCAUUCUGUAAAUACGAAGGUCAGUAUUAUAUCAGUUAUCAUACAUUAUAUCAAUUAUCAAAUUCACCGUGAUUCUAAAUUCCACGUUGACACUCACUCGGUUCACUCUUCUAGGAGAGGCUCGCGGCCCCGACUCCUGCUUCCUAUAGUAAAUGAAACGCUUGUGAGUGCACGCCGCUGUCCCUGUGUAGCUCGGCACGAUGGUCCGCUUCUCGGGGUCACAAAUGUGCGGGGAACGGUUGUACUGCGACGAGUGAAAGGAAGAAUAACCGGCGAUGCUUGAAGCGUUUUGCCCAACCAACAAAUAAUGGAAUAAAACAAGGAUAUAAAAUGAAGUACUGAAAAGAACAACUAUCUUUGCUAUUUCAUUUGAUUUCUUCCCAACUCAUGAAUGGAUAAUGGAAGGAACAGUAGAGGAUGUAACUAGAUGAACCGCAUGAAAACCAGUAACUAUUCUUUCCUCGCAAAUCACACAAAAAAUAUAGAAUGUACUUUAAAGUUUUCAAAUCUCGUAGUUAAAAAAGUUAUACAUAGUUUUGUAUCAAUAAUUAAAAAAGAUAAACAACAGAAAGAAUAAUUAGUUAAACUCCUGUAGACCGACUGUUGGAAAAAAAUAUAUAUCCUUAUCCUAGCCAAGCAAAGGAAGUAGAGUAAAAGAAAAAUAUAUAUAACUAAUAUGUACUAUUAGUAUCAGACCGCAUCGACACUUUCCUGGAACUUCGGAAACAACAACUUUCAAUCCCGAAAAGUAACAAAAUUGUGCCUUGAGCUGUCACGUCACCGCCCUUCACUUCACUGCUCUUCACCUCAUUUCACUUCACUUCAUUUCUCUUUCCUUCGCUUCCCUUCCUUCCCUGCUUUUCACUUCAUUUCCCUUUCCUUCGCUUCCCUUCCUUCCCUGCUUUUCACCUUACUUCCCUUUCCUUCGCUUCCCUUCCCUCACUGCUUUUCACUUCACUUCCCUUUCCUUCGCUUCCCUUCCCUCCCUGCUUCUCACCUUACUUCCCUUCCUUUCCCUUCACUUCACUGCUCUUCACCUCAUUUCCCUUCCUUUCUCUUCCUUUCCCUAUCCUUCUCUUCCCUUCACUUCACUGCUCUUCACCUCACUCCCCUUCCCUUCACUUCACUUCACUUCCCUUCACUGUCUGACAAUCCUUUUCUGACCUUUUUCUGACCCUUUCUCUGACCUUCAAUUCGCCUACCUCCAAAAUACAUCAACAUACAAACAAUAACAAAAAGAAAAAGACACUUUGCACGAAUGAAAAAAAAAAAGAUGUACAAAAUAAAUGUCCCCCAGACACACACACACACACACACACACACACACACACACACACACACACACACACACACACACACACACA